ACCACCGUGUGUGAAUGCGCCUUGGUUUUAAUUAUCUAUUGGCAACCUGUAUUGCAAUUAUAGAUCCGGAAACAUGGUGGAAUAUCCAUGUCCGCAAAGAACUGUCAUAUUCCAAGAUGGGUUUUCAACAAAGAUGUUAAGCACGUGCCUCUGGAUAGUAGUCUAAAAGGUAUUCGCCUUGAUAGUUUUAAAGUGUUAAGGAUUUAAAUGAUUGGUUGACUUCCAAACCAUCAAUUGCAUUGCUAACGUACGGAGUAUAGUGUUCCAUAUGCCGAAAUACAAAAUGCUGGUGUGCAUAUUGUUACGAAACGCACCUGAAACUUGUAUCAAAGCGCGUUACUGGAGCAAUAAGCGCGUAGUAAAAUGUAGCUAAUAGAACCUUGAUACAGAUGGUAACUACUAAUGACUAGCUACCAAUCCUUGAUCUGGAAUUAUAUACAAGAAAAUAUGUACAUAAUAAAAAGAUGUUUCGAAAAAGUAAGGUCCAAAAACUGAUUUAUCUCUGGGCUGAUGUUUAUUAAGUGGAUGUAAUAGUAGAAUAAAUAUAAUGGCAGUUUUAAAAGCUAAACUAUAGAUGACAUUAACUGGAGAGAGAGACUUUUUGAUCAGCAUUGUUUAUAAAGAGCUUGAUACGGAAUGUAACUACUAAUAAACUUGAUGUCACGUCGUAUAAAUAUGUAUGUACAUAUGUACAUAUGUAUGUGGCUGUUUCGUAACAAUAAGGUCCGAAAACAUAUAUACUUCUGGCUGAUAAUGGUUUAAAGUGAUGGCGGAUUUAAAAACUAAACUAGCGCAAUUUUGAACUAUGCCAUUAACUCGGGAGUGUGACGUAACUCUACCGACGCAAGAACCAGAAAAGGCACUUGCCACCCGGGCACGUCAGUAAGCAUCGUCUGGAUACCAAGGUCGCUUUGGAAACUCUCGUCCCAUAAAUGCCGUUAUUGGAGCCCAACCCCUACCAAUUCCAUACAAUGAGCUUCUUCGGCUGCAAUGAGAGACCCGCGUUACUUUGGCCCAGUUAAGGUCUGAAUACUGCAGUACUGGAGACUCCCCGCAAGUCGUACACGAGAGCGGCCAAAAAUAGAAAAAGUUAAGUUAGCAAAUUCGGAAAACUUUGAAUGCCAAUCGACAGUAAAUCCUCGAGUAUAAAAAACCGAAAUAUUUCCGAAAAAUUUGGAUUAAUGCUGUUUUCGUUUUCCAAAGUUGAGAGUUUAUAAAAUAAAAUAAAGUAAUAAGAAGAGUGCAACUUCACAACAAGCUUUUCAGGCGUUCCGCGAUUUUCAGGCUUUCAGCUACCCAAUUCAGCUAUUGACGAAAACCUGAAAAGCGCCGAGCGCCCGAAAAGCUUGUUGUGGUGUGGUACUCUUUAACAGCUUAUAUAUGCUGUUUCCAAAACGUUGUAACUUUUUUUAUUUAUGUGGCGAUUCUAAUAUUUUUUUUGUGUCAAGUCUUGUAAUCAAUUUUCAACCAUCUUCUCGACGAGCUAGAGCCAUGAUAACCACUUAACAAGGUACAUUCAUUCUCUCAAAUCGUCGGCCAAGAUUUUUUUCUGACGUUUGCAAGCAUUUUAAAAUCAUAUUGAAAAUUGAAAAUAA